AUGCUGGAGGAUGAAGAUGAGGCGGACCCGGUUGACCCGGCGCGAGCCCUUGUUGGGAAGGUACUGGCCUCCAAUGUUCUUCACAUCCAGACUAUCUCUGCGGCCAUGAGGCCGGCCUGGGGCAACCCGAAAGGACGGCAGCUCCACCUUGCAGGGGAUAACAUCUUUGUUCCUGAAUUUGGGUCGCAAGCGGACCGUGCUCGUGUGAUGAAUGGUUCUCCAUGGACGGUGGGGAAACAUGCUGUACUUCUGAAGCUUUUUGAUGCGGACACCCAGCCGCUUCAGGUCAAGAUUGAUCACCUGGCUGCAUGGGCUAGGAUCUUAGCACUUCCACCAAGAUUGAUGAAAGUGAAAUUUGAAAUGGAGUUUGCUAAGCCAAUUGGCAAGAUCAUUCAUGUGGAAUCAGAUGCUGAUGGCUGA
rnacentral:rRNA from 1 species